UUGAGUCAGAAGAGGAAAAAAAGAAGGUUUUUUACUUAGUUUGGAUCUUGCUUUUGUUAUGAAUAUAUAAUGCUUUAGAAAAUUGGGGGGUGGGGGGGAAACAAUGAACUUCUUUCUGAGUAAACCAAAGGUCAAAAAACACGAAAACAUGGAUUAGAUCUAGGUUUUGAAUGAAGGCUUCCGGCGAGAUUGGGAGACGGAGAGAGGGUCUCUUGCGUUUUCCGUUGGGUGAGAGUAUUCAGGGUCAGAUCGGAAGUCUAUCCCUGAAUUUUACAGGGUUCCUUUAUUUGGUAAUCGAGCCCGAUUUGAAGAAAAGGAUCCCGGUGCAUUCGGAUCUUAAUAAUUGGUUUGGGCUUGAUCUGAGGAAUCAUAUUUGGGUUAAUGGAUGGAUUUGUAUCAAGUUUGUGGGAAUGAUUGUGGAAUCUGUUUGGGAUCUGCUGGUAUUUAUUAGGGUGAUUUCGAUCGUGGUGUGUGUUAAGUUUAUGAUCCGAUGUUGUCCUAGUUAUGGAAGGUGCUGGCCUCAUAUUUCGUGGUUCAUGGGUAUUGGGUUUGAUACUGUUUUGAUUUUAGUGUAUAGUUUUGGAAUCCUGUUGAUUGGCAUAUCCCCUAUGUCACGUUGUAGUAUCACGAUGGGUAUCAGGGUAUUUAGUUGGCGUUUGGAGUUCCGUGGUUUCAUCUGUGUUUCAUUUCUUCAUAUUUUGUGUUGUUCCGUCUGGUGUGGUGGGUGGUGUGUUUUAGUGGAUCGUGUUUGGUUGCUGAGUGUUGUGUUUUGGUUUAUGGCUCAAUCAUCGUUUCUCAAGGGGAAGGCUCCUCUGGUGCGUACAGAAACUGUGAAAAUAUCCAACUCAGUUUUGGCUCAGCGGAUUCAGAAGUUUUCACUAACUCUUAUAGGGAGGUUGAUGAAUCCUGCGAUUCAAAGGAUGAAGUCCUUAAUUUCCACUUUGCCUAAGAUUUGGAAGCUUAAAGACAAGGUGGUGGGAGCUGAUCUCGGUCAAGGGACAUUUCAGUUCAAUUUCGCUAAUGAGAGUGAUUUGCAAGGGGUCUUACAAAAUGGUCCAUACCAUUUUGAUGGUUGGAUGAUCUCUUUGGUUAAGUGGGAACCAGUCAUUUCUUCAACCUAUCCUUCUGCCAUCAAUUUUUGGGUGAAAGUUGCUGGUAUCCCUAUGCAUCUUUGGGAGGUUACUACUUUAGAGGCUAUUGGAAAAAAACUUGGCAUCAUUCGAGAGAUUGAUGAGGAGACAGGUAGUGUUUUUGUGACUGUUAAUGGCUUCAACCCUCUUCUCUUCAAGUUGGUUGUGCCAUUUGAAAGUGGCGAUGAGGUGAUAGUUACUCUAGAGUAUGAGAAACUUAACGGUGUUUGUGAUAACUGCUAUCGGCUCACUCAUGAGGAGAGAGAUUGCCCAUUUCUCAACAAGGCUGUCGAGAGCAAGGGGGUUGAGUUUCAAGCUGAGAAACGAGGAGCUCAGUGACAUCAAGGUAUGGUGCAACAAGGAGUGUUUCACAAUGAUGGUGGUUGGGAGAAGCCAAGGAAAUAUGUUAAGAGAGCUUUAGAUUUUCAAGCUCAUGUUCCUUCUGUUGGGGUGGAGAAUUCCAGUUCCUAUCAUCAGAAUCGACACCAUGGCUCUGUCUGGGAUCAAAAACGUUCACAUGGUGCUGGUGCGAUGGUUUUGGGUGGCAAGCGUGGGGUUCAGGUUGGUUCUGGGGAGCAGUUGGGGCAGGCUCUUUCUUUUCCACUUAACCGAAAGGGGUCAGGAUCAGCUUGGCCUAAGCCUUUAUAUAAAGCUAAAUCUGGUCAGAAGGAUCAGCGGAUGCAGGAGGUUCUUGGUGAGGAUUCGGCUGCUAUUGGUUUAGUUGAUUCUCAACGUGAUACUGUGAUGGAGAGUUCUUCUCAGUAUGGGGCUGGUGAGGAGUUGGUAGGAUCGGACUUUAACGAAGCCACUGAUGAUCUUUUAGAGGAGGGUGAAUCUCCAAAUGGUAAUUACCAAGAGGAGGGUGAGGUUGCGAUUGGACAGGGUAACAACCUUGAAGAGGGUUUAGGAUCGGGUUCUACUGAUCCAACCGAGGAUGAUCUGAAAGGUGAUGGUCAUAAAAAGAGAGGGAAAGGGAUACAACGGUCUAAGGCUACGGAUGGCAAACCUGCUGGUGGUGGUCGACCAGUGAAGAAGGGGAUGGUGGCUCUCCCGAAACCACCGGCUCAUACGUGAAAAUUUUAAGUUGGAACUGUCAGGGUAUUGGGGCAGACCUGACAAAGAGCUAUUUGGGAGACUUGUGGAAGAAGUAUCAUCCAGAUAAUUUAUUUUUAUCAGAAACAAAAAAAAUAUUAUUCUUAUUUACAAAAGUUUCAGUCUAAGUUUGGAUAUGAUAAGUUGUACUCUGUUGACCCUUGCGGUUCCAAUAGUGGUUUGGCUGUUUUUUAUAUGGAUGCAAUAAAACUUUCAAUUUUAUUUGA